UUCUCCUGGAUCUCACACAUCAGAAUUAUCUUCCAGAUCCCAGGGGUGAGAAGCGCAGCUUCUGCGUCAGACACCAGUCUAGUGGACAUCGCACGCUAGCCCUGCCACUCGCCAGCUGUGGGGCUUUGGGAGCUCUGUGCCUCAGUCUCCUCCACCUAUAAGUGGGAAUGAUAGUGAAGUCGGCCUCACAGAUGAGGAUGCAGGGCACACUGGGAAGCCUGCUGAAUUACAACGAGGGGGAGAACUCAGCAACCCAAGCGGCAUGAUCUCUAUCACAGGCUGCAGCACUGGAUUUUACCUUACUGUGCAUGAUUUUUCAUUUGCUUUACUGUGAACUCACCUAGGACGGGGUCCAGGCCUUGGUCACUUUUGCUCUCCUUGCACAUGUGUGGCAGGUAGUCAGACAUGCCUCGGGAAUGAAGGCAGGAAUGUACUUCAUCGACUCCACUCCUGUGAUGUGAGAUCCCUGAGGGCAGGACCCAAGUCCUACAUCAACCCUAGAGCCCAGCACCAGUUUUCCCAUGUGAUUCUCUUAAGAACAAAAUAUAAUACAGUCGUGUAAAUCUAAGUGAUUUAUUACACAAGUGAUUAUCCUAGAGAUACUGGGACCCACGACUUGGGGCUCCACCAAUGUUCCUCUGUUAUAUAAGCUCAGGUAUGAGUUCUGGGAAGCCACAGGGCAUGGGAGCAAAACCACAUGCUUUGGCUCAGACCUCGAUUGGAAUUCGGGCACCGCCACUUACUAAGGGGCCUUCUCAAGCCUGUCUCCUAUCUGUAAAAUGGGAAUGAGCCUACCGACUUCAUAGGAUUGCUGUGAGGAUUAAAUGGAAAUCGGUACGCAAAAUGGCCAGCACAGUGCUAACAUCUAGAAGGUGCUGCCCAGCCCCAAAGAGAUCUACCAGAGAAAUAAUAAUUCUCAUUUUUAGUCAAGCUACAAAAUAAGACUCCUCAUUUCUGAUUUGUUUUAUAAAAAUGCAAAAAAGAGAGAGAAGAAAAGCCUUCCAAGAUUCUGAUACCGCUCACCCCAGUUUUCACUUGAAAGUCAACCAAUGAAUGAGCACCAGGGUGAAGAUGGAAUUCUGCCAGCCACAGUACCUGCAAGAGUCCACAACACACUUGACUUUCAUUCAUGUGUACUACAAUCCUGUGGGUUAAAGGGCCAUAAAAGUUGUCCUGGUUUUUCUUAUACUUCAAAGGAAGCAAUUUAAUGGCCAUGAAUGACAGCCUCCCGAUUACACUGUAACUAUGAAACACGACUGUUCUGGAAUGAUUUCCAGGCUGGCUCCCUCACCAAAGGAACUUCAAGCCCACUGAGAACAGAGGGACACACACCACAGGGAGGUGAGCUGUCUCGGAAGGAGCCCUCCACGCAGACCCCACAGCUAUAUUAACUGUGCUUAACGUAAUCAUGAACACAUAAUCGCGGGGCUAUUGAAGACUCCAUAACAAACAAGAUCAAGGAGCCUGGAGCCUCUAAAACAUGAAAACCAAUUAGCACUAUGAAAUCUAAGAGCAGACACAGCCAGAGCUCGAGAAAAGGCAUGGGCAGGAGCUGGACUGCUCAAUCCUGCUCACUCCUCCCUUCCUUCCUGUUACACGGUUCUGUUCUGAGGUGCUGCUGAGAGGGGCUUCCUCUCCUGGGCCAGAACUGAGGCUAAGGCCCGAAGCUGAGGACAGAAAGUGAUCAACUCCCCACAUUCUAAAGAGGCUGCUGGAGAAGCGGCCACGACUGGGGCCUGACAUCCUUCUCUAGGGAUUAUCAGGCAGCACUCUGCUACCCAUCCCACAGGACCGUAACUUAUCCUUCCCAAUCCGUAGAAAGCAAGACUCUGAAGCAUGUGCGUUUGUCUUUGGCCUUGUGGGAGGUUUCUAUUCAAGAGGAAAACUGAUGCCAUGAAGGAUGGGAUGAGGUGCUUUCUCUUCCCAGAAGGGAAAGAUUUGGGUGCCUCGUGAAAGGGAGUCUGGAGUCAGCUCCCUGGUCAAUGAUCUACUUGCAGAGACAACUCUCUGAUCUCACCUUAAUAAAUGAGAUUCAUUCACCUGGCACUUUGGGUUUCAUGUAGGGGGAGAGAUGGAAGAGUUAGGGGAAUAAAAGGAGAUGAAAGGACUAAAGAAAAGGCAGAAGGAGGCCGGGCAUGGUGGCUCACAUCUGUAAUCCCAGUAUUUCGGGAGGUCUAUGUGGGUGGAUCACUUGGGUCCAGGAGUUUGAGACCAGCCUGGGCAACACGGCGAAACCCCAUUCUACCAAAAAUAGAAAAAAAAAAAAAUUUGCCAGGCAUGGUGCCAUAUGCCUGUAGUCCCAACUACUCAGGAGGCUGAGGUGGGAGGAUCACAUGAGCCUGGGAGGUUGAGGCUGCAGUAAGCCGUGAUCACACCACUGCACUCCAGCCUGGGAAACAGAGCCAGACCCUGACCAAAAAAAAAAAGGCAGUAGGGCAUGACAAAAAAUAUACUGUGGGGCAAUUUGUACUCAGACGUGGGAAACAGGAUUAAAUGCAUUAGAAAAGAACUAAACUGAAAUAUUUAAAAAUGACAGUAAUCAGUUAACAAUCCAUUCCCCAUGGAUAAGAAGGCUGUGAUUUUUACACCAAAGGAAAAGUGUUUAAGUCAUAGUCCCUACCAUAGGGGCUUCAACAAAGUGAUGCCAAAGAAAGACUACUGUCCUACGAAGACAGCCAUCUGGAGGAGGUCCUAAUGGUAUCACAAGCGAUGUGACAAAAAUGAAGUCCCUUCAUUUCUCUCAGCCUUUCCUUACCUGUAAACAGGGCAAGAAUGGAAGGCUGAAAUAGCCAGAGGUUCCAAACCUCAAUGGUAAUGAAGAAACACAACCUGUGCAUUGUAUUCUGAAAGGCCUCGGAGAAACUGUGUCCUUAUCCACAGACGCACAGAGCGGUGUUGGAGAAACAUCAGUUACCACUUGCCUAGGAUGUCUAAGGGCUCUUGACACAUCCUGUAAUGCGACGUAAAUAAGAAAUAAAGGUGGGCCUCACUGAAAGCAGAACUCCUCUCAGCCGAGGACUGGCUUAGCCUGAGUUUCUGGGAGGUGAUCUGCCCUCUGGGCUUCCCCUCCCUCGGCCCAUUAACAUUUCUGUACUUAGAAGUCGGCUGGGAUCCUGGAGGGCAUAAGAGCUGUAAGAAUGCCAUGACUAUUUUUAAAAUUUUGAAAAAUAAAUACUAGAGGCUCUGGCAGCAACAGCGCUUGGGGAGUAGCCGUACCUCUGAAGUUUUCCUUUCCUUUCUCGAGCAACGCAGGGAGGGAGCUGUUUAAUGAGGAGUCUCAACACCGGGGAACAAAGCAGUAGUGUUUGCACACAAAGCUUGGUGCUGGCAAUUUUCUCGGUUUCGUUUUUUCAUGCUGCCAAAGUCAUUUGUUUUGAAAAUAAGAGCCUCUCCUUUGCCCUCAGCAUCCCUAUUAAGACACUAAACCACAGGAUUAAUUCUGUUUAGGCCUGCAGAGUGAGGUAAAUCCUCUGAGACACCUCAGCACCUUCCCCAGGUGAGACAGGAGAGUCCGGGGAUGAAGAAUUCGGCUCUGGAGUCACAGACUCAAGUUCAAGUGCCAGCCGUACCGCUUGCUAGCAGCGUGGCCUUGGGCAAGUCACUUGGCUUCGGUUUCCUCCUCUUAGCUGCAAAAUAUGAAAAACGGGCCUGCUAUGAAACGACUGGCCCAUAGUCAACACUCAGUAAAUGAUAACUAUAUAAAAUAAUGGUGGUAAAACCAGCAAAAAUCGACAGGUGUGUAUCGUUGGGCCAUAAUGUGAAACCACGCUCAAAGUACUUUAAUAUAGCAUCCUUCAAGGCGCUCACAAUGCUGCAGACUGUAGGAGCGAAGUCAGCAAUACAGGUUGGAAUUCAUGUAUUGGGGGCUAUACUAACAUAUACAAAGUAUACGUGAUUUGUCUAGGUUGUUUUUGAUGCAAAAUAGCCUGAAGCUAGAGGACACCACCUACUCUUAUCUACAGUGUCCCUUCUGUUUCUAGGAAGAGUCUACAAUCCUAACUUUAAUGCAUUUUUGUCUAAACUAAGAGUCUUCACAUUUUUUGAAGUCACAGAAAUAUUUGUGAAUAUAUAUUUUUAACUGGGACUUGAUUACUUUGUAACAUGUAUGUGUGUAUACACAUACACACACGUACAUAAAAGGGUAACAACGCAAAAGGCAAUACUGGUUUGUGUAUAUAUCAUAUAGUGGAAAGAAUAUUAGAUUCAAGUUAGAUCAUCUACUUCCAACACUGCAGAUGGCCAGAGCCGUAAGGCAAGUCUCUCCAAUCAGGUCUUAGUAUUCUCCUUAUUUAAAAAAGGAGAAAGACAUUAAAAUACCUUCAAAAUUAUUGUUGUGACCCCAGGCAGAGUAACUAGAAUGAAGUAGAAGAAGCUAUUGGAAUAUGACGUUGUCUCAUGUAAGAUCUUUUUUUUUUUUUUUUUUUUUUGAGAUGGAGUCUUGCUCUGUUGCCCAGGCUGAAGUGCAGUGGCGUGAUCUCGGCUCACUGCAACCUCCGCUUCGUGUCGUGAGAUCAAGCAAUUCUCCUGCCUCAGCCUUCUGAGUAGCUAGGAUCACAGUUCACUACCAGACCUCACACCAGAGAUGAAGCUUCUCCAUGCAGAGAAAGACCUAAAACUCUAGCGUGAUGUACUCAUGGAUAAGAAUUGAUCAACAUGUAUCCAGAGCCCAAUGAUGCCAGGAAGAAAGCCUAAACAUAAUUUAAU
rnacentral:lncRNA from 10 species